rnacentral:misc_RNA from 1 species
CAACCCUCAAGCUCUGCUUGGUAUUAGGCUCCACCUGCUAGGCGGGCCAUAAAAUCAGUGGCGGUGCCAUUCGGCUUCAAGCAUAGUAAUACUUCUCGCUAUGGAUGACCGAAUUUGUGCUUGCCAGUAACCCUAAUCUUUAAA